CUGCUGCCUUCCGUAGGAGUUUGGACCGUGUCUCAGUUCCAAUGUGGGGGACCUUCCUCUCAGAACCCCUACGCAUCGUCGGCUUGGUGGGCCGUUGCCCCACCAACUACCUAAUGCGCCGCAUGCCCAUCCGUGACCGGGGUCGCCCCCUUUGGCCGGCAGGGGAUGUCCCCUCCCGGCAUUAUGUUGUAUUAGGCGGGAUUUCUCCCGGUUAUCCAUCUGUCACGGCCAGGUUGCAUACGUGUUACUCACCGUGCGCCGGUCGCCGGCGG
rnacentral:rRNA from 1 species